rnacentral:RNase_P_RNA from 1 species
GCAAGGAGCCACCCCACCGCGGCGCCCAACGCAAAUGCGGGCGGCGAGGAAAGUCCGGGCAACGCAGGGCGCCCUGCUACCUAACGGGUAGGACUGGCCAAUCGGGCCAGGACAGCCAGUGCCACAGAAAAUAACCGCCGCUUCUUGGCUGUUAGCUUUUGGCUAGUAGCUGUUAGCCUUUGUUCUUGAACAUUGCUGACAGCUAGCAGCUUAAAGCUACUAGCUAAAGAAAGGUAAGGGUGAAAAGGUGCGGUAAGAGCGCACCAGCGGCUGGGUGACCACGCCGGCUGGGUAAACCUCAGGGGUUGCAAAACCAAAUAGGCGAACACGCUGGCCCUCGGGCUGGCACCGGGCGGCCCGCUCGGGUUCGCGGGUAGGUUGCUGGAGCCUAGGGGUGACCCUAGGCCUAGAUAAAUGGUGGGGCCGCCGCCCGCGGAAACGCGGAAGGGCGAACAGAACCCGGCUUAUCGGCUCCUUGCCUAA